rnacentral:rRNA from 1 species
AUGAGGGAUCCGGAAGCGCCCUCGCUGGUGAGGCUGCCGGAGCACGUGGUGCUGGAGAUCCUCGCGCGCGUGCCCGGCGUCGCCGACCUCUUCCGCUGCGCGGCCGCGCGCAAGCGCUGGCGCGACCUCGUCACCGAGCCGUCCUUCUUGCGACGCCGCUGGCCGGAGGGCGCGUGCCACUGCUCCUCCCUCGUCGGCUUCCUCGGCCGGGAGCGGCGCCGCGGCGGGGAAGGGCCGCCGGGCUCCAGCUUCGUCCGCGCGCCGGGGUCGGUGCUCGGCCCCGGCCGCCCCCUGCUCGGCUCCUUCGUCCCGGGCGCCGCCGGCCUCCUCGACGACCGCGUCGUGCCGCUCGCCUCGCACCGCGGCGUGCUCCUCGUGUGCUUCGGCGCCGAGGCGGAGGCGGAGGCGGAGCCGGAGCCCGGCGUCGACCGCCUCGCCGUGUGCAACCUGCUCUCGGGCGCGUGCCACGUGCUCCCCCCGCUGCGCUGCGACUGGUUCUUCGACUACUUUGGCACUAGCGCCCACGCCGUCCUCACCGGCGCGGACUGUUGCCCCGACGACGGCCAGCGGCAAUCGCCGGACCCGGCCUCCUUCAAGGUGCUGGUCGUCGGCGUCAGCGACGACCGGCGGCACUACGUUCUCCGCACGUUCUCCUCCGGUGACCCGAGCUGGAGCGCGCCCAGCGAGUGCUUCGACCCGGUAGAGCGCGGCAUCUUCGGGCCGUUCAAGCGGCGCAGCGCCGUCGUGAGCCACGGGACGGCGCACUGGGUCCUCUGGGACCUGGUGAAGUUCCACGUCCUCGACGUGAACGCCGCCACUCGCCACGCCUCCUUGCAGGAGCUACAGACCCCGCCGCCGGCGGGCGACCUCCCCCUGUACGAUUCGCCGCAUCUGAGCGUCGGACCAAACAAGGCGGCGACGCUGUCGUCGCUUUGUCCGUCGAGCCAAGAUCCCCAGGUGGAGAUCUGGACGCGGCGGGACGGCGGCAAAGCGAGCGACGAGGAUUGCGGCGGUGACUGGCGCCGCGAUAGGGUGAUCGAGAUGACACCCGAGCAGAACCAGAUCGUCGACAGGCCACGGUGCAUGUGCGCCGGAGACAGGAGCGGCACGCUGUUGAUCACUGACCGUUGCCGGUGCAUGUACAUUUUACAUCUGGAGAAUGGCGCCAUGGAGGAGGUGACGGACCACCUCCGUGGCCUCCGCGACUACAAGACCGCCAUGGCCGUCGAGAUAGAUUGGCCGGCCUUCUUCGUCUGUCGGCUUCUUGGUGGAAAGGCACAUGUUUAA